rnacentral:rRNA from 1 species
CAAGAGCUCAGAUUUGGAAUCGUGUUUCGGCACGAGUUGUAAAUUGCAGGUUGGAGUCUUUGUGGAAGCGUGUGUCCAAGUCCCUUGGAACAGGGCGCCAUUGAGGGUGAGAGCCCCGUGGGAUGCGCGCGGAAGCAGCAAGGCCCUUCUGACGAGUCGAGUUGUUUGGGAAUGCAGCUCUAAGCGGGUGGUAAAUUCCAUCUAAGGCUAAAUACUGGCGAGAGACCGAUAGCGAACAAGUACUGUGAAGGAAAGAUGAAAAGCACUUUGAAAAGAGAGUGAAACAGCACGUGAAAUUGUUGAAAGGGAAGGGUAUUGGGCCCGACAUGGGGAUUGCGCAUCUCUGCUCCUUGUGGGCGGGGCGCUGUGCUUUCCCUGGGCCAGCAUCGGUUUUUGCCGCAGGAGAAGGGGUACUGGAAUGUGGCUCCUCGGAGUGUUAUAGCCAGUGCCAGAUGCUGCGUGCGGGGACCGAGGGCUGCGACAUCUGUCUCGGAUGCUGGCACAACGGCGCAAUACCGCCC